GUGUGUGGUGGUGUGUGGAUUAGAGUCGCUGAGGUUCAGCCUGUAGUCGUUGGUGUAUGGUGGUGUGUGGACACGAGAGUCGCUGAGGUUCGCGCUCCGCUGCAUUAAAUGACCAGCCACGUGGCCUGCGGGCGCCUUAAUUAGGUUUCCAUUGCUCGCUGACAGAGUCGAUGUUGCAUUGAUUCAGAUUUUCCCUUCAGCGGCCACCGCCGCCGCUCGCUGCUGCGAUGGAAGCCGACCGUUCCGAUGUCACCGCGGGAUCAUCGGGGUUACGCAACGGCUGGUUCAUCAAGUGCUCCGCGGCCCCUCCCCGGCUGACAGUCCGGGCCCGGGCGGCCUGUUUGUUGACGGUAGGCCUCCCCGUCAUGCACACAAUACCCUAAGCACGGACGCCACAUGAUGAUGCGGUUUGUUGUCUUCGGUGGGGGGGGGGGGGGGGGGUUGUCCUUCGCCCUGCUGUGGUCUGAGGCCGGGUGUUAGAAGGGAUUUCUGUUGGUCAGCAACAUGUCCUUAUUUGUUAUGAGCCAUGCGUGUCUCAUCGUUUGCUUGGACACAAGACAACGUGUGUGUGUGUGUGUGU